rnacentral:rRNA from 1 species
GGUCAAUAGUCUAACGACUGAACCAGCAACUUGGAAGAAUGUAUAACGAAUAAGUCGUAUAAAAUUCGAAAUAAAAAAAAGAUAAUGACAAAUUUUUAUUUUUAAGUCUUGACCAAAUUACGUGCCAGCAGUCGCGGUAACACGUAGAAGACUAGUGUUAUUCAUCUUUAAUGGGUUUAAAGGGUACCUAGACUGAAAAUAAAGCCUAAUUAGGAACUAAUUUUCUAGAGUUUUAUGUAAGAAUGGACGAAUUGCCAGAGGAGAGUCAAAAUUCGAUGAUACUGGUAGGACGGAUAUCGGCGAAGGCAACAUUCUAUGUAAAAACUGACGUUGAGGGACGAAGCCUUGGGGAGCAAUUAGGAUUCGAUACCCUAGUAGUCCUUGGAGAAAAUUAUGAAUGUCAUAGACUAGAUAAUAAUUUAGUUUAUAAAUGAAAAUGUAAGCAUUCCACCUCAUGAGUAAAGCGGCAACGCUCAAAUUGAAAUCAUUAGACCGUUUCUGAAACAAGUAGUGAAGUAUGUUAUUUAAUUCGAUGAUCCGCGAAUAACCUUACCACGUUUUGAAUAUUAUUUAAUUAUUACAAGUGCUGCACGGCUGUCUUCAGUUAAUGUCGUGAGAUUUUGGUUAGUUCCUUUAAUUAACGAAAACCCUUGUUUUAUUUGUUAAUAAAACAGUUCUCCGCUAUAUUGGAUAAGAUAAUAGGGAUCAAGACAAGUCAUCAUGGCCUUAAUAACGUGGGCUAUA